rnacentral:rRNA from 1 species
GACGAACGCUGGCGGCGUGCCUAAUACAUGCAAGUCGAGCGGACGAACCGAAAGCUUGCUUUUUAUUCGUUAGCGGCGGACGGGUGAGUAACACGUGGGCAACCUGCCCUGUAGCCGGGGAUACCACCGAGAAAUCGGUGCUAAUACCGGAUAACACGAAAUGUCGCAUGACGUUUCGUUGAAAGACGGCGCAAGCUGUCGCUACAGGAUUGGCCCGCGGCGCAUUAGCUAGUUGGUAAGGUAACGGCCCACCAAGGCGACGAUGCGUAGCCGACCUGAGAGGGUGAUCGGCCACACUGGGACUGAGACACGGCCCAGACUCCUACGGGAGGCAGCAGUAAGGAAUCUUCCGCAAUGGACGAAAGUCUGACGGAGCAACGCCGCGUGAGCGAAGAAGGCCUUCGGGUCGUAAAGCUCUGUUGUUAGGGAAGAACGAGUAACGCAGUAACUGGCGUUACCGUGACGGUACCUAACGAGAAAGCCACGGCUAACUACGUG